rnacentral:rRNA from 1 species
GCGACGCCGCGUGGGGGAUGAAGGUCUUCGGAUUGUAAACCCCUGUCAUUUGUGAACAAACCUUUUGGUUUAAUAGAUCAAAAGCUGAUAGUAGCAAAAGAGGAAGGGACGGCUAACUCCGUGCCAGCAGCCGCGGUAAUACGGAGGUCCCAAGCGUUGUUCGGAUUUACUGGGCGUAAAGGGUGCGUAGGUGGCCAGGAAAGUUUGAUGUGAAAGCUCCGAGCUCAACUCGGAAAAUGCAUUGAAUACUACUUGGCUUGAGGAUCGGAGGGGAGACUGGAAUUCUCGGUGUAGCAGUGAAAUGCGUAGAUAUCGAGAGGAACACCAGUGGCGAAGGCGAGUCUCUGGACGAUUCCUGACACUGAGGCACGAAAGCUAGGGGAGCAAACAGGAUUAGAUACCCUGGUAGUCCUAGCCGUAAACGGUGCACACUUGCUGUAGGAGGAUUCGACCCCUUCUGUGGCGGAGCAAACGCGUUAAGUGUGCCGCCUGGGGAGUACGGUCGCAAGAUUAAAACUCAAAGAAAUUGACGGGGGCCUGCACAAGCGGUGGAGUAUGUGGUUUAAUUCGAUGCAACGCGAAGAACCUUACCAGGGCUUGACAUGU